UGGCGGUAGGCGGGCUGGGAGAGAGAGGCCGGUGGGAGAUCCUUCAGAGUACUGAAGUCACAGGGAAAACUGCUGCCCCCAAAUUGAAGAGACAGAGAAGUAGUUUGAGACCUUCUGUGCUUCCUCUACCUGGAUAUCUUAUGCCUUCUUCAGUUUUGGAAAGUUUUCAGCCAUAAUUUCCUCAAAUACAUUUUCGACCCCCUUCUCUCUCUCCUCCUCCUCCUCGGAUCGCUAAAAUUCGAAUGUUGUGGGUGCACCACGUUAUCACCAGAUACAGACAACUUUGACAUUUCCACAGCUUUUUGGCUCAGGGAGGGAAAGGAAGAAUAUACAAAAGACAGCAUCAGAAAGAGACUCCAGUUUUCAGGGCAUUUAAUUCAUAUCCGUUCUUCUUGAUAUUUAAAGCUGUUCAUCCAUAAAAUUAUUUAUAUGUUCUUGUCUACUGAGAGCAGUUAAUAGUCACUCAAAAUUUCACUACCAGAAAUAACUUCAAUAUUUGAUAAGAAAAGAAGAACAGAAGAGGGGACAGGAUGGUAUUUUUUUGACCAGAAAUAUGACUGUUUUCUAAUGUGAGGUAUUUGAAAUGCCUUAGUUCAAGGACUGAUUCAAAGAAAAGCCCUCUUUUGGAUUCAUCUCAACAUCUAUCAGGAAACGCAGAUACAUUCAGAUACUUUAUCCUGGUAAAGAGAAGGCUGCCUGGGGAGAAAAAUGGACCCAUUUAACAAUGAAGUUAUUGCUGGUAGUUUUGUGCCACUUCAUCGCUCUCAGCUGAUGUGAUACCAAGUAACUCUCUGCACAGAUGGCUGGUGGAACCCAUCCAGCAUCUGCAAAGUCCAUCCCUGUUUUCUUUCCCAAACAUUUUAUUUGGAAAUCUUGUUUGGCAAACUUCCUGAGACUCUGCCUAGCUGUUCAAAGUACAUAUUUCCAAGCUAUCUCAUUUGGACCUUCCAUAAAAAAGAGCCAGCAAAGUGCCUUCUUACUUGGCACAAAAAUUGCAGCCACAGACUGAAGCGAGUUUUAGGUUCCUGGCCAAAACUUUACAAGAAUUUUAUCUUAGAUGCUUCCAUACUGGACUGUUUUACAUAGUCAUCAUUAACAUCUGACGCCUUCACAUCAUGACAGGAUCGAAGCUCCUAGUCUGUAUCAACUGGUAACUUUGCCAAAAGUUCCCUCUUGUUCUUAUUUUCCUUUGUGUCCUAACCAUCGUGGACAUGGUUCUUAUUCAGACUCUAGGGUGCUGAGCUUUUUAAGGAGAGCUACCUGCUGGACAAUGUCUCCCUGCACUUAAUGAUGAAUCAAGAGAUUACUUUUGAAUGAAUAAUCUUUUUUUCUUUUUCCGAUAGAUCAUGUGAAGGAUGUUAAGCAUUUUAAAAACCAAAACCCAAAACCCUUUGUAUAUUUGGGGACUUAGAAAGAGGUCAUGCUAGCAAUUCAAUUCCAGAUACAACUUCCACAAAUCUCUUAAAGACUCUGACAGACUGGAAAUUUCAGUCUCACAUUCCCAGAACAUUACCUCAAAUUUCUCUUCAAUGUAAAUCAGUUUCCCAGAACCUCAGUAAUAAAAGAAAAUGCACUAA